GAUGAACGCUGGCGGCGUGCCUAAUACAUGCAAGUCGAGCGAACGGACGAGAAGCUUGCUUCUCUGAUGUUAGCGGCGGACGGGUGAGUAACACGUGGAUAACCUACCUAUAAGACUGGGAUAACUUCGGGAAACCGGAGCUAAUACCGGAUAAUAUUUUGAACCGCAUGGUUCAAAAGUGAAAGACGGUCUUGCUGUCACUUAUAGAUGGAUCCGCGCUGCAUUAGCUAGUUGGUAAGGUAACGGCUUACCAAGGCAACGAUGCAUAGCCGACCUGAGAGGGUGAUCGGCCACACUGGAACUGAGACACGGUCCAGACUCCUACGGGAGGCAGCAGUAGGGAAUCUUCCGCAAUGGGCGAAAGCCUGACGGAGCAACGCCGCGUGAGUGAUGAAGGUCUUCGGAUCGUAAAACUCUGUUAUUAGGGAAGAACAUAUGUGUAAGUAAAUGUGGACAUCUUGACGGUACCUAAUCAGAAAGCCACGGCUAACUACGUG
rnacentral:rRNA from 1 species